ACACAGUAGCUUCAUAAAGAGGAUCAAUAAACAAAGACGUGCAUACAUCAGUUGUACAAAAAUUGCCCAUUACAUAAACUACUGAUGAACCUAUAAUUAGUUAACCACAACAAUCAAUCGGGUAAAAAUAACCUGUUCAAGAUGCAGCAGGAAGCAGUUUAACAAGCAGCAGAUGAAAGUACUAUACAAAUCAGCAAACAGCAGCCACAGCUGUACAAAUUGAAGAUGACCCAUGUUAUGAAGCUGUACAAACUGAAACAGACAAGGGAGAAGGAAAUCUACUUCAACAAAGUAAAAACCUGACCAAUUUUCACCAAACAUUAAGAACCCUAACCAAUUUUCACCAAAACAAGAAUCCUGGUACGAAACCGAAGCAGAAGAAGAGCUUCUCAGUCCAGCUGGCUCCAACCCUGACCCCUGCCGAUGCGCCUUCGCCUUCUCGUCGUUGACAUAGCAAAGUUUUUCAAGAUGGCUCUAACACCAACCCCUACUGAUGCGCCUUUACCUCUUCGUCGACUCGUCGUAGACACAAGAAAAAUCCAAAGCGACAGAAAGAAACAGAGAAUAAAGGGUAAAAGGGGAAAGUAGUGUACCACAUUCGACUGGCCUCACGAGAAACCAUGGAGAUUGGAGAAAUGUUAAGUGUCUACCAACAAUUUGAAGAAUACAUUUUUUUAGAGAAAAAGUGGGCCCGCAGG
rnacentral:lncRNA from 1 species